ACGAACGCUGGCGGCAUGCCUAACACAUGCAAGUCGAACGAGACCUUCGGGUCUAGUGGCGCACGGGUGCGUCACGCGUGGGAACCUGCCCUUAGGUUCGGAAUAACUCCCCGAAAGGGGUGCUAAUACCGGAUAAUGUCUUCGGACCAAAGAUUUAUCGCCUUUGGAUGGGCCCGCGUUGGAUUAGCUAGUUGGUAGGGUAAAAGCCUACCAAGGCGACGAUCCAUAGCUGGUCUGAGAGGAUGAUCAGCCACACUGGGACUGAGACACGGCCCAGACUCCUACGGGAGGCAGCAGUGGGGAAUAUUGGACAAUGGGCGAAAGCCUGAUCCAGCAAUGCCGCGUGAGUGAUGAAGGCCUUAGGGUUGUAAAGCUCUUUUACCCGGGAUGAUAAUGACAGUACCGGGAGAAUAAGCUCCGGCUAACUCCGU
rnacentral:rRNA from 1 species